rnacentral:rRNA from 1 species
GCUUAACACAUGCAAGUCGAGGGGCAGCAUGGUCUUAGCUUGCUAAGGCCGAUGGCGACCGGCGCACGGGUGAGUAACACGUAUCCAACCUGCCGUCUACUCUUGGACAGCCUUCUGAAAGGAAGAUUAAUACAAGAUGGCAUCAUGAGUCCACAUGUUCACAUGAUUAAAGGUAUUCCGGUAGACGAUGGGGAUGCGUUCCAUUAGAUAGUAGGCGGGGUAACGGCCCACCUAGUCUUCGAUGGAUAGGGGUUCUGAGAGGAAGGUCCCCCACAUUGGAACUGAGACACGGUCCAAACUCCUACGGGAGGCAGCAGUGAGGAAUAUUGGUCAAUGGGCGAGAGCCUGAACCAGCCAAGUAGCGUGAAGGAUGACUGCCCUAUGGGUUGUAAACUUCUUUUAUAAAGGAAUAAAGUCGGGUAUGCAUACCCGUUUGCAUGUACUUUAUGAAUAAGGAUCGGCUAACUCCGUGCCAGCAGCCGCGGUAAUACGGAGGAUCCGAGCGUUAUCCGGAUUUAUUGGGUUUAAAGGGAGCGUAGAUGGAUGUUUAAGUCAGUUGUGAAAGUUUGCGGCUCAACCGUAAAAUUGCAGUUGAUACUGGAUAUCUUGAGUGCAGUUGAGGCAGGCGGAAUUCGUGGUGUAGCGGUGAAAUGCUUAGAUAUCACGAAGAACUCCGAUUGCGAAGGCAGCCUGCUAAGCUGCAACUGACAUUGAGGCUCGAAAGUGUGGGUAUCAAACAGGAUUAGAUACCCUGGUAGUCCACACGGUAAACGAUGAAUACUCGCUGUUUGCGAUAUACUGCAAGCGGCCAAGCGAAAGCGUUAAGUAUUCCACCUGGGGAGUACGCCGGCAACGGUGAAACUCAAAGGAAUUGACGGGGGCCCGCACAAGCGGAGGAACAUGUGGUUUAAUUCGAUGAUACGCGAGGAACCUUACCCGGGCUUAAAUUGCAGAUGAAUUACGGUGAAAGCCGUAAGCCGCAAGGCAUCUGUGAAGGUGCUGCAUGGUUGUCGUCAGCUCGUGCCGUGAGGUGUCGGCUUAAGUGCCAUAACGAGCGCAACCCUUGUUGUCAGUUACUAACAGGUUCCGCUGAGGACUCUGACAAGACUGCCAUCGUAAGAUGUGAGGAAGGUGGGGAUGACGUCAAAUCAGCACGGCCCUUACGUCCGGGGCUACACACGUGUUACAAUGGGGGGUACAGAGGGCUGCUACCACGCAAGUGGAUGCCAAUCCCAAAAACCUCUCUCAGUUCGGAUUGAAGUCUGCAUCCCGACUUCAUGAAGCUGGAUUCGCUAGUAAUCGCGCAUCAGCCACGGCGCGGUGAAUACGUUCCCGGGCCUUGUACACACCGCCCGUCAAGCCAUGGGAGCCGGGGGUACCUGAAGUGCGUAACCGCAAGGAGCGCCCUAGGGUAAAACUGGUGACUGGGGCUAAGUCGU